AAUUAAAAAUUUCAUCCAUUUGUACAAUUAAAAACUAGCGUGACUGACAGAAUACACAUGAAGUGCCACGUGUAUCUCAUGUUGACAUACAUGUAUCAGUUUUUAAUAGUAAAAAUGGAUUGAAUUUUUAACA
rfam:Gossypium hirsutum cultivar TM-1 chromosome 5, whole genome shotgun sequence